UUGCACCUGGUGGCGAGUGGCGAACGGGUGAGUAAUACAUCGGAACGUACCUUAUCGUGGGGGAUAACGCAGCGAAAGCUGUGCUAAUACCGCAUACGCCCUGAGGGGGAAAGCGGGGGAUCGAAAGACCUCGCGCGAUUAGAGCGGCCGAUGCCUGAUUAGCUUGUUGGUGGGGUAAAAGCCCACCAAGGCGACGAUCAGUAGCUGGUCUGAGAGGACGAUCAGCCACACUGGGACUGAGACACGGCCCAGACUCCUACGGGAGGCAGCAGUGGGGAAUUUUGGACAAUGGGGGAAACCCUGAUCCAGCAAUGCCGCGCGAGUGAAGAAGGCCUUCGGGUUGUAAAGCUCUUUUGUCAGGGAAGAAACACCGGCUCUAACACAGUCCGGGAAUGACGGUACCUGAAGAAUAAGCACCGGCUAACUACGUGCCAGCAGCCGCGGUAAUACGUAGGGUGCGAGCGUUAAUCGGAAUUACUGGGCGUAAAGCGUGCGCAGGCGGUUAUACAAGACAGGCGUGAAAUCCCCGGGCUUAACCUGGGAAUGGCGCCUGUGACUGUAUAGCUAGAGUGUGUCAGAGGGGGGUAGAAUUCCACGUGUAGCAGUGAAAUGCGUAGAUAUGUGGAGGAAUACCAAUGGCGAAGGCAGCCCCCUGGGAUAACACUGACGCUCAUGCACGAAAGCGUGGGGAGCAAACAGG
rnacentral:rRNA from 1 species